rnacentral:rRNA from 1 species
UACGUAGGGACCAAGCGUUGUUCGGAUUUACUGGGCGUAAAGGGCGCGUAGGUGGCGACCCAAGUCAAUGGUGAAAGCUCGAUGCUCAACAUCGAGUCGGCCACUGAUACUGGGUUGCUCGAGCACUGUAGAGGCAGAUGGAAUUCCGGGUGUAGCGGUGGAAUGCGUAGAGAUCCGGAAGAACACCGGUGGCGAAGGCGGUCUGCUGGGCAGUUGCUGACACUGAGGCGCGACAGCGUGGGGAGCAAACAGG